rnacentral:sRNA from 1 species
CCUGCCGCCGGACGGAACGGGCAGCGAGGGUUGGGGAACCCGAUGACCUGCUGGUUCCGAGAGCCGCUCGGGUCCUAGGGAGCCCGGGCGCCUCGCUCCGACGAAGGAG